rnacentral:rRNA from 1 species
GACGAACGCUGGCGGCGUGCUUAACACAUGCAAGUCGAACGGAAAGGCCCUGCUUUUGUGGGGUGCUCGAGUGGCGAACGGGUGAGUAACACGUGAGUAACCUGCCCUUGACUUUGGGAUAACUUCAGGAAACUGGGGCUAAUACCGGAUAGGAGCUCCUGCUGCAUGGUGGGGGUUGGAAAGUUUCGGCGGUCGGGGAUGGACUCGCGGCUGAUCAGCUUGUUGGUGGGGUAGUGGCUUACCCAGGCAUUGACUGGUAGCCGGCCUGAGAGGGUGACCGGCCACAUGGGGACUGAGAGACGGCCCAGACUCCUACGGGAGGCAGCAGGGGGGAAUAUUGCACAAUGGGCGGAAGCCUGAUGCAGCGACGCCGCGUGCGGGAUGACGGCCUGCGGGUUGUAAACCGCUUUCGCCUGUGACGAAGCGGGAGUGACGGUAAUGGGUAAAGAAGCACCGGCUAACUACGUG